UACGGAGGGAGCUAGCGUUGUUCGGAAUUACUGGGCGUAAAGCGCGCGUAGGCGGCUUUGUAAGUUAGAGGUGAAAGCCCGGAGCUCAACUCCGGAACUGCCUUUAAAACUGCAUCGCUUGAAUCCAGGAGAGGUGAGUGGAAUUCCGAGUGUAGAGGUGAAAUUCGUAGAUAUUCGGAAGAACACCAGUGGCGAAGGCGGCUCACUGGACUGGGUAUUGA
rnacentral:rRNA from 1 species